rnacentral:rRNA from 1 species
UACGUAGGGUGCAAGCGUUGUCCGGAAUUAUUGGGCGUAAAGAGCUCGUAGGCGGUUUGUCGCGUCUGCUGUGAAAACCCGAGGCUCAACCUCGGGCCUGCAGUGGGUACGGGCAGACUAGAGUGCGGUAGGGGAGAUUGGAAUUCCUGGUGUAGCGGUGGAAUGCGCAGAUAUCAGGAGGAACACCAAUGGCGAAGGCAGAUCUCUGGGCCGUAACUGACACUGAGGUGCGAAAGCUAGGGUAGCAAACGGG